GUCCACGCCGUAAACGAUGAUCACUCGCUGUUAGCGAUACACAGUUAGCGGCUAAGCAAAAGCAUUAAGUGAUCCACCUGGGGAGUACGGCCGCAAGGCUGAAACUCAAAGGAAUUGACGGGGGCCCGCACAAGCGGAGGAACAUGUGGUUUAAUUCGAUGAUACGCGAGGAACCUUACCUGGGCUUAAAUGUAGAGUGCAUGAGAUGGAAACAUUUCUUUCCUUCGGGACUCUUUGCAAGGUGCUGCAUGGUUGUCGU
rnacentral:rRNA from 1 species